rnacentral:rRNA from 1 species
GAUGAACGCUAGCUACAGGCUUAACACAUGCAAGUCGAGGGGCAUCAGGAAGAAAGCUUGCUUUCUUUGCUGGCGACCGGCGCACGGGUGAGUAACACGUAUCCAACCUGCCCUUUACUCGGGGAUAGCCUUUCGAAAGAAAGAUUAAUACCCGAUAGCAUAAUGAUUCCGCAUGGUUUCAUUAUUAAAGGAUUCCGGUAAAGGAUGGGGAUGCGUUCCAUUAGGUUGUUGGUGAGGUAACGGCUCACCAAGCCUUCGAUGGAUAGGGGUUCUGAGAGGAAGGUCCCCCACAUUGGAACUGAGACACGGUCCAAACUCCUACGGGAGGCAGCAGUGAGGAAUAUUGGUCAAUGGGCGCUAGCCUGAACCAGCCAAGUAGCGUGAAGGAUGAAGGCUCUAUGGGUCGUAAACUUCUUUUAUAUAAGAAUAAAGUGCAGUAUGUAUACUGUUUUGUAUGUAUUAUAUGAAUAAGGAUCGGCUAACUCCGUGCCAGCAGCCGCGGUAAUACGGAGGAUCCGAGCGUUAUCCGGAUUUAUUGGGUUUAAAGGGAGCGUAGGUGGACUGGUAAGUCAGUUGUGAAAGUUUGCGGCUCAACCGUAAAAUUGCAGUUGAUACUGUCAGUCUUGAGUACAGUAGAGGUGGGCGGAAUUCGUGGUGUAGCGGUGAAAUGCUUAGAUAUCACGAAGAACUCCGAUUGCGAAGGCAGCUCACUGGACUGCAACUGACACUGAUGCUCGAAAGUGUGGGUAUCAAACAGGAUUAGAUACCCUGGUAGUCCACACAGUAAACGAUGAAUACUCGUUGUUUGCGAUAUACAGUAAGCGGCCAAGCGAAAGCAUUAAGUAUUCCACCUGGGGAGUACGCCGGCAACGGUGAAACUCAAAGGAAUUGACGGGGGCCCGCACAAGCGGAGGAACAUGUGGUUUAAUUCGAUGAUACGCGAGGAACCUUACCCGGGCUUAAAUUGCAGUGGAAUGAUGUGGAAACAUGUCAGUGAGCAAUCACCGCUGUGAAGGUGCUGCAUGGUUGUCGCCAGCUCGUGCCGUGAGGUGUCGGCUUAAGUGCCAUAACGAGCGCAACCCUUAUCUUCAGUUACUAACAGGUCAUGCUGAGGACUCUGGAGAGACUGCCGUCGUAAGAUGUGAGGAAGGUGGGGAUGACGUCAAAUCAGCACGGCCCUUACGUCCGGGGCUACACACGUGUUACAAUGGGGGGUACAGAAGGCAGCUAGCGGGUGACCGUAUGCUAAUCCCAAAAUCCUCUCUCAGUUCGGAUCGAAGUCUGCAACCCGACUUCGUGAAGCUGGAUUCGCUAGUAAUCGCGCAUCAGCCACGGCGCGGUGAAUACGUUCCCGGGCCU